rnacentral:rRNA from 1 species
UUGAACGCUGGCGGAAUGCUUUACACAUGCAAGUCGAGCGGCAGCGCGGGGGCAACCCUGGCGGCGAGCGGCGAACGGGUGAGUAAUGUAUCGGAACGUACCCUGUCGUGGGGGAUAACACAGCGAAAGCUGUGCUAAUACCGCAUACGACCUGAGGGUGAAAGCGGGGGAUCGCAAGACCUCGCGCGAUAGGAGCGGCCGAUAUCGGAUUAGCUUGUUGGUGAGGUAAAGGCUCACCAAGGCGACGAUCCGUAGCUGGUCUGAGAGGACGACCAGCCACACUGGAACAGAGACACGGUCCAGACUCCUACGGGAGGCAGCAGUGGGGAAUUUUGGACGAUGGGGGCAACCCUGAUCCAGCCAUGCCGGGUGAGUGAAGGAGGCCUUCGGGUUGUAAAGCUCUUUCGGCAGGGACGAAACGGUGAGCUCUAACAUAGCUUGCUAAUGACGGUACCUGAAGAAGAAGCACCGGCUAACUACGU